AUGGUCUGGAAAACGGAGACCAACCGCGCUGACUACCUGGAAGCACUGAGACUCCGGACAGCGCCUCUCAGGGUCCAGGAAAGGCACCGCGAUCUGCUUCAGCACCAGGGCUCCGGACAGCUCCUAAGGCUCCCAGGGGGCGACCUCAUUUCAGAACCAGGACACUGGACAGCUUCACUGCUACAGGGAAGCCCUUGUACCCAGAUGGGGGAACAGAGUGCUCUGAAGUGCCUGACGCUUUGGGAGACUUGCCCCUCGUGUAGUGGAUUUUUCAGUGAAUUAUUUUCCAGAUAAGCAGAUGAGAAGAAACCACCCACAGAAAUCCGUAAUUCCUAACAGGUGAGAUGGCCAAUCAGUAGGACUGUGAGGGGUCAGGCACCUGCCAAGAUGACAUUAGUAUGCUCUUUCCAGACUUCUGUGAGAAACAUUGUGCCAAGCGUUUUAUAUACAUUAUAUCACGACAUUGUCAGCCCUAAGACAUGGGUGUUAUUACAGCAAGGUGACAGUUGAGAAAACUGAGACCCAGGGAGGGGCAGGGGUACAACUAACCCAAAGGCUCUCAGCUCAAGGGUGAAGCUGAAAGUCAACCCCACAUUUGUCUAAUUCCAAAUUCUGUUACUGACAUGGAUGGGUGGGAGCUGAGCCCUUGGAAAUCAAAUGCUGCCUCUCUCCAAGAGGACCAAGAACAGAAAACAGGAGGCAGUGGAGAAGCCCAGGUGUUAUGACUUAGCUCAAAUGAGGGGAAAGAGCUGGGUGGGGGCUUCAGACAUGGGGCAGAGGGUGGUGAAGAAGACUGGAGUGGUUGUGGUCUAGUGCUGUGUGGAAGACUAGUGAUUUUGUUGUUCUGACGUACUAUGACAACAAGUCACAGCUUCCUCACAGCGUGGACUCCCAUCGACCUUCGCCCAAGACGGACAAGCAAGUGUGUGUGUGUGUGUGGGGGUGUUCAGGGAGGAAUUGCUUCUAUUCAGGGGUUGGGCUGACUAAUUCCACGGGACAAGAACAGGGGAGAGAGCAAAAUAGAGGCAUGCACCCCAUGAACACAUGGCGAUGUGCUGCAUAUGAUGUUGGCCAUGUCACUCUUAUGCACCCACAGGUUUGGAAAUACAAAUAUCUGACUCUGAACCCAGGACUCUUAACUGUCUCACUACACUUUCCUGGGAGAUCAAUGAGAAAAUCAUGUUUGAAGCCCUUCCUUGAUCAGGAUUCUAUGGAGACUUUUCAAUAAAAGUUCUGGGGAAUUUUUUACUCCCCUACCU
rnacentral:lncRNA from 1 species